rnacentral:rRNA from 1 species
GAUUAACGCCAGCGGCAGGCCUAAUACAUGCAAGUCGAACGAGAUUGUUGUAGCAAUAUGACAUGAAAGUGGCGCACGGGUGCGUAACACGUAUGCAAUCUACCUUUGAUAGGGGAAUAGCUUCGAGAAAUCGGAAUUAAUGCCCCAUAACAUAUUUGAGUGGCAUCACUCGAUUAUCAAACCUCCGGGGAUCAAAGAUGAGCAUGCGCAACAUUAGCUAGUUGGUGAGGUAAUGGCUCACCAAGGCUACGAUGUUUAGGGGGUCUGAGAGGAUGAUCCCCCACACUGGUACUGAGACACGGACCAGACUCCUACGGGAGGCAGCAGUAGGGAAUAUUGGUCAAUGGAGGCAACUCUGAUCCAGCCAUGCCGCGUGUGUGAAGAAGGCCUUAUGGUUGUAAAGCACUUUAAGCGAGGAGGAGGCUACUUUAGUUAAUACCUAGAGAUAGUGGACGUUACUCGCAGAAUAGGCACCGGCUAACUCUGUGCCAGCAGCCGCGGUAA